rnacentral:lncRNA from 1 species
CAGGGGCUGUGGUGAAGGGUCUUCAGUUAGCCUUUUACUGUGAGAGAGACCCUGCGGGGAGACAGAGCAGGAGAGGAGGAAAAACGGAAACUGUCUAUGGAGGCAGAGACCCUUAUGAGACAGUCCAAUCAGAAAUCUUAAAACUGUGGGGAAGUAUCUAGAAGCCCUGAAAUCUUUGGUGAAGGUGUGUUAAAAAUCACAUUAGGGAGUUCCCAUUGUGGCGCAGUGGUUAACGAAUCCGACUAGGAACCCUGAGGUUGCAGGUUCAGUCCCUGGCCUCGCUCAGUGGGUUAAGGAUCCGGUGUUGCCGUGAGCUGUGGUGUAGGUCGCAGACGUGGCUCGGAUUCCGCGUUGCUGUGGCUCUGGCGUAGGCCGGCGGCUACAGCUCUGAUUAGACCCCUAGCCUGGAAACCUCCAUAUGCUGCGGGAGCGGCCCAAAGGAAAUAGCAAAAAGACAAAAAAAAAAAAAAAAAGACCAAAAAAAAAAAAAAUCACAUUAGAUCUAGAUGGGACCUUAUAUUGGGAGGCUGUAUAUUCAGUAAUAAACUGGGACACUUUUGAGAGUGAAAGAGAAUGUUAUGAAUAAAAUAGCCAGGAACAACAGGUGUAAGUGGGGACUGUGCUGGACAAACUGGCUCAGUGUUCACUCUGCUUAUUAAAGUAGUUCUUGGAGAGGAUGCGCUAUAGACUGUGAGGAAAAUUUCCAAAAUAAUGACGCAAUUGGGAAGGCGGGGAGAAUGAGGUGUAGAGAGCAGUUCUUUUCCAGAAUUUGGUGACAGGAAGAAUAUACAGUUUACAACAGCUCUCCGGGUGUGUCUUGUCCCCUCUAUCCCACGCUGAGGGUGGCAGAGGUCUCUCAAUUUCCGGAACAAAGCGGAUUCCAGGUGCGCUUGCGCAGACUCCAGCGUGGGAGGGGGUGCUCUCAGGGUCCUCAACGCAAUUCCAUCCUCGGGAGAAACUUGAUAUGCCCAAGUAUGAACCCAACUUAAAGAGGAAGAAUGAUAUGAACUGGAGGUGCUUUCGGAAACUUGUUGCAGAUCUGAGGUCUGAAGAUGCAGAGAAAUGGCUUUUACCACGUUUCACUUUGAAAGGUAGGAAACUUCUUUGACACAGUUGGUAGAAUUUCAGAGGCAGAGUCCUUAAGCUUCUUAUACUUAAAAAAAAAAUAACUUACCUGUCCCUCCUCCCCCCACCCAAUUAAAUAAUGUCUUAACAGUGGGGCUAGGUUAGGAGCACUUUUACAAGCUUCUCAGGUGAUUCUGUGCACAGCAUUGUGAACUCUUGAUCUAGACCAGCUCAUUUUACUGAUGGGAAAAGUACUUUCUGCUGGUGGGGAAGGUACAUGUUCAUCUUCCAUGUGGCCUCCAAAAUAUGCUAAAAAAAGAAAUUGGAGUUAAAAACCUUCACUGAGUCCCCCCACCCCCUUUCUGACAUUUCCCUUCAGUUUUUAGGACCAAGCUCAGGGUGUUUAGCUUAGAUCACAGCUCUUUUCAGUAUUUGCCUCUUGCUACACAUCUCACCUCCAUUUUUCUCUUCCCCUACUUCUAC